rnacentral:rRNA from 1 species
AUUGAACGCUGGCGGCAGGCCUAACACAUGCAAGUCGAACGAGUGGCGGACGGGUGAGUAAUGUCUGGGAAACUGCCUGAUGGAGGGGGAUAACUACUGGAAACGGUAGCUAAUACCGCAUACCAUCAGAUGUGCCCAGAUGGGAUUAGCUUGUGGGGGGGGUAACGGCUCACCAAGGCGACGAUCCCUAGCUGGUCUGAGAGGGUGACCAGCCACACUGGAACUGAGACACGGUCCAGACUCCUACGGGAGGCAGCAGUGGGGAAUAUUGCACAAUGGGCGCAAGCCUGAUGGAGCAAUGCCGCGUGUAUGAAGAAGGCCUUCGGAUUGUAAAGUACUGUCAGCGGGGAGGCGUUACCCGCAGAAGAAGCACCGGCUAACUCCGUGCCAGCAGCCGCGGUAAUAC